AGUGCGCCAUUUUUUCUUUGGUUCUCUGCUGAUUUUCCUUCGAUCAGAGCAUAAAAUCUGUGCAAAUUGUGGUAAAUUGAUGGGACGCGACCAGUAUUAAAACUCCUUAUAGUGACCUGGGUAAACGAAGCUUCUACUACUAAUGCAAUUCUGAAGGAAAUUUCAAAUUUCAGCUCAAUUUCAUACGGAUUUAUGGAACAUCGCUAGACGAUACGCUGUUCAGUCGAGGACAAGGUGAGGAGCCCUCAGAGGAGCCAUUAGAGAUGGAUCAAAACAAAAAUUAUUGUCCAGCGAUGAUCCUGUUUCGGACUAGUAUCAUGGACGAUUCGAGUGACAGUAGGUACCCUUAGGUACCAAACAUGGGAUUUAAACUAUUCCGAGUGUCUGAUAGUAUCAUGCUGCUGCACAACCGACCUGCAACAUUCGUCAUUAGAAAUUCUCAGUCUAAUGCUCCGAACCCAAAAAGCCCAGCCCAAUCAUAAAAAAUAAUCCGGAUGUCGACCCAGUGCUAUUUCUAACCGAUGCAAUAUUUUUGCCAACACGGGAUAAAACACGGUUUUUUUGCAGCAGACCGAAGGAAUUAUAUAUCGUCAAAUAAAACGGAAAAUUGGCAAAAAGGCAGUUCAACUCUACCAACUACCUAUAGUUCAGAAAAAAUCGUCAAGUUUUCAGCCAUGCGACAUUCUUCUGCUUUAAGAACAAGUUAUGCCUCGCUAUCGGACGUUUGGCAUAGAAGCGUAAAUGACAGUUUUGAAAACGGCUCCGAACGCCGACGCCGUUGGGGUCGCUUUGUUCAACAUCUCUCUGCGAAAGGAAUUCAGCAGGGUAUAGUUCGCCGUUGGUCUGCAGAUCGAUGGUACUGGAUCCUGGAUUUCUUCAAACUGUAUCGUCGUUGCAUGUGACCUAUUGAAGGCGACGAAUACUGGGCAACCCAGGUAACCGGCUAUAUAGAGCUAGAACCAGUAUAAAACUUGAUAGCUCUGUGAUCUCGUUAUAUUAUAGUCACACGUACGGCUAAUUAAUUUUUUUCGUUUAAAUCCAUACGAUUGCCUGGGAAAUGCGCUUCCGUGGUAGAUCUGCUCCAAGAACAUGCUGAUGUUGUAAUAUAUGAUAGGUAUGUGCACAACAUCAUAAUAUAUUACCUAAAUAUACGAAACUUAAAAAAAAUC